ensembl:lncRNA
AUGUUCUCAAACCUCCCAUGCUCUGUCACACUCCCAGUGUUACGGUUGUCUCCAUGCUACUGUCCCCUCCCAUGCUACUGUUACCUCCACUGUUCUGACCUCCCUGCUACUACAUCUCUUACCUCCCAUGCUACUGUCACCUCCCACCUGCUAAUGUCACCUCCCAUGUUACUGUUACCUCCCAUGUUACUGUCACCUCCCAUGUUACUGGCACCUCCCAUGUUACUGUCACCUCCCAUGCUACUGUCACCUCCCUUCACCUCCCUGUACCUGUACCUCCCAUGUUACUGUUUCUCCCAUGCUACUGUCACCUCCCAAAUGUUACUGUCACCUUCCCAUGCUACUGUCAUCUCCACAGUGUAAAUCAAUUGUGCAUCCCCAAUGGCACCAUCUUCCCUUUUUAGUGUACUACUUUGACCAGUGCACUACAUAGGGAAACAGAACACACCCAGUGCUUUCAAUAAUUAGAUCCUACAUCAGACUGAUUUCAUCUUUUCAGCUCCACACCUCCACAUGGGUUGUUUACGUGUCCACCAUACAAUCCACCUGGAAACGAGCAGCCAUUGGAUU